ensembl:snoRNA
GUUCUUUUCAUUUAUAAGUGUGAUAAUUGGGGUUUCACGCUCAUGUGUAAGAUGUGCCUCCACAAACCUGGUUACGAGUCGGCACGACCUGUCUGAUG